rnacentral:rRNA from 1 species
UACGUAGGGUGCGAGCGUUGCCCGGAUUUAUUGGGCGUAAAGGGCGCGUAGGCGGUCGCGCACGUCCGUUGUGAAAUCGCUCGGCUCAACUGGGCGGGGUCAGCGGAUACGGCGUGGCUGGAGCAAGCUAGGGGGCAAUGGAAUUCCCGGUGUAGUGGUGGAAUGCGUAGAGAUGUGGAGGAACACCGAUGGCGAAGGCAGCCCCCUGGGCUAACACUGACGCUCAUGCACGAAAGCGUGGGGAGCAAACAGG